AGGGUUUGAUCCUGGCUCAGAGUGAACGCUGGCGGCGUGCCUAAUACAUGCAAGUCGAACGGACAAGUAAGAGCUUGCUCUUAUGAGUUAGUGGCGCACGGGUGAGUAAUGUAUAGCUAAUCUGCCCUACACUAGAGGACAACAGUUGGAAACGACUGCUAAUACUCUAUACUCCUCUCUAGCAUAAGUUAGAUAGGGAAAGUUUUUCGGUGUAGGAUGAGGCUAUAUUGUAUCAGCUAGUUGGUGAGGUAAUGGCUCACCAAGGCUAUGACGCAUAACUGGUCUGAGAGGAUGAUCAGUCACACUGGAACUGAGACACGGUCCAG
rnacentral:rRNA from 1 species